UUCCGGUUCAGUAUCACCUUUUUACAACAAUAGAAUAAUUAAGUAAAGCGAUAUUUAUCCUUCAAUGAAAUUAAUAGCUCUAGAUAGCAAUAAGCUCUACUAUCCGAAACUCCCCUUAGAUUAUCACUUAAUGAAAUAAGCUCUUCACAAGAUUCUAACUAUUACAUAACCUAGAACAAGCUCUCUAGAUUUAAUAUAAUAUUAGGAACAAUAUCAAUUACACGUAAUAUUGUCCCUUAAUCUAGCAGAUGAGAUAAAUCAAAUUGACUUAACCGAUCUCAUUAAACCAAUCAGAAUAAAUAUCAUUCAACAGUUAAAAUAGAUUAUCAAGAAUGAACUUCAUGUAAGAAGGAAUAAAUAGUUUAUACUUAAUCAAACCAUUACCUGUAAACAAGGUUCAACAUCCCCUUCGAACUGAAUAAAAGAACUAGCCUAACAUAAUAAGUCCAAUGAAUACUUUCUUGAAUUAUAAAAGGGGUGAGGACAACAACCUCACUAUGGAGAUGAUCCUCUUUCCAUACUAAAUUAUGAAAGGGGUGAGGACAACAACCUCACUAUGGAGGUGAUCCUCUUUCCCUACUAAAUACACUAGAAUUUGGAGAAGAUGGAGAAUGGUGUGUGAAUUAAUGUGUGAAUUCCCCCUAGCUCCACUUGGUAUUUAUAGGCAU
rnacentral:lncRNA from 1 species